rnacentral:rRNA from 1 species
AACGAACGCUGGCGGCAUGCCUAACACAUGCAAGUCGAACGAUCCCUUCGGGGAUAGUGGCGCACGGGUGCGUAACGCGUGGGAACCUUCCCUUAGGUUCGGAAUAACUCAGAGAAAUUUGAGCUAAUACCGGAUAAUGUCUUCGGACCAAAGAUUUAUCGCCUUUGGAUGGGCCCGCGUUGGAUUAGCUAGUUGGUGGGGUAAAGGCCUACCAAGGCGACGAUCCAUAGCUGGUUUGAGAGGAUGAUCAGCCACACUGGGACUGAGACACGGCCCAGACUCCUACGGGAGGCAGCAGUGGGGAAUAUUGGACAAUGGGCGAGAGGCUGAUCCAGCAAUGCCGCGUGAGUGAUGAAGGACUUAGGGUUGUAAAGCUCUUUUACCCGGGAUGAUAAUGACAGUACCGAGAGAAUAAGCCCCGGCUAACUCCGUG